rnacentral:rRNA from 1 species
CUAAACAGUUUACAGCCAUACCACCCUGAGCACGCCUGAGUACUUUGAUUGGGGACCACCUGGGAAUAUCAGGUACUGUUUGGG